rnacentral:rRNA from 1 species
GACGAACGCUGGCGGCGUGCUUAACACAUGCAAGUCGAACGCUGAAGCUUGGUGCUUGCACUGGGUGGAUGAGUGGCGAACGGGUGAGUAAUACGUGAGUAACCUGCCCUUGGCUCUGGGAUAAGCCUGGGAAACUGGGUCUAAUACUGUAUACGACAUGUCACCGCAUGGUGGUGUGUGGAAAGGGUUUUACUGGUUUUGGAUGGGCUCACGGCCUAUCAGCUUGUUGGUGGGUUAAUGGCUCACCAAGGCGACGACGGGUAGCCGGCCUGAGAGGGGGCCGGGCAAAAUGGGGACGAGAACAGGGCCAAACUCCCAAGGGGGGGAGGAGGGGGGAAAAAUGGAAAAAGGGGGGAAAGCCUGAGGAGGAAAGGCGGGGGGGGGAAGAAGGGCUUUGGGGUGGAAAACCCUUUCAAGAGCGAAAAAGGGGAAGGGACGGGAAGGGGUAAAAAAAGACCGGGUAAAUAAGGG